UGGUGUGAGAGGCUGAAGCUGCCAGCAUGAUCUGGUCCUUUGAGAGCAUGGCACCUCUGAAUUCAGCCAAGAGCUGCUACUGAAACUGACAGCUUGGGUGUGUGUGCGCAAAGGCUAUGGAUUUGAUCAGAUCAUGUUGCAGCUUCACUCUCUCACUAC
rnacentral:pre_miRNA from 1 species